rnacentral:rRNA from 1 species
UACAGAGGGGGCAGGCGUUGUUCGGAAUUACUGGGCGUAAAGGGCGCGUAGGCGGCCUGCUAAGUCGAACGUGAAAUCCCCGGGCUCAACCCGGGAACUGGCGUCCGAUACUGACAGGCUUGAAUCCGGGAGAGGGAUGCGGAAUUCCAGGUGUAGCGGUGGAAAUGCGUAGAUAUCUGGAGGAACACCGGUGGCGAAGGCGGCAUCCUGGACCGGUAUUGACGCUGAGGCGCGAAAAGCCAGGGGAG